rnacentral:rRNA from 1 species
UACAGAGGUCUCAAGCGUUGUUCGGAUUUACUGGGCGUAAAGGGCGCGUAGGCGGCGCCGCAAGUCGGUUGUGAAAUCUCCGGGCUUAACCCGGAAAGGUCAACCGAUACUGCGGGGCUAGAGUGCAGAAGGGGCAACUGGAAUUCUCGGUGUAGCGGUGAAAUGCGUAGAUAUCGAGAGGAACACCUGCGGCGAAGGCGGGUUGCUGGGCUGACACUGACGCUGAAGCGCGAAAGCGUGGGGAGCGAACAGG